GAACCCGGAAGUUUUGUCCUGGUGUCUGUAGGCGGGGCUUGUGCGGCGAAAGAGAACUGUGAUUUUGUCUGGAGGAGAGCAGAGAAAUGAUCCAGAAGGAAUGCGAAGGAAGAAAGAGAGCCCAUAUUCCACCUUCAGGAUGAGUAAUCAGACAAUGGGAGGAUGCCGUCUGAGGAAGUUUCAAGGGACACAGUAUCCUCGGGGACUACCCAGCAAUGUCGUGUUCAGGUCAUAAAUCUGAAACCCCAUGCCACAUUUUAAGGAACACCAUAACCCAUAACGAAUGAAUUACGUACUGGAUAUAUGGAGCGAUGUCUUCUUCUGUCCACUUUUCUCUGAGGGAGAAUAGACUAUUGAAGCGCUCCUGUGUUCCCUCAGGCAAAUCGUCCACUUUGAGCAAGAAUAUGAUUUCUGGUCUUGAGUUUCUAUCCACCAGUGCUAAGCCCUACAAGAGACAAGAAGAAAAAAGGCAGUUAAAGUAAAGACCUCAUAUUUAAAUAUGACUCAUUUCUUUUGCCAUUAGAUUUAGCUCAAGGAAUUUAAAAUACCAGUUGUCGCCAGUGAUCAGUCAUUGCCAAAUGCCUCUUCCUCGGCUUCUUCACUUCACCUCACCAGCCCCUUGCUAAUGCCCAGCACAUUUUCCCUCUCACCUCUCUCCCCCUCUGACAUCACUGCCUUCUUCUCAGUCUUACUGCCCACAUCGAUGCCCAGACGUCCACCCCAUCCCAUUACCUCUUUCUCCGCCUGACCCGGGGACCUCAUCCUACCCCACAGCCUGCAGCGCCCUUGCUCAUGAGAGUAACAUUGGCAUCCUCUACUCAGAUACCUCUUCUGAGCCCGAGAGCCACACGUCCAGAUGACAGUGGACACCCGCUCCACUCCCACUGCCUUGGGGAAACAGGAAGUCUAGAGAACCUAAAUUCUGGUAUCCAAAUCCCAUACCUGAGUGGUCAGGAGUCGCUAUAAGACUUCUCUAUCUGUCACCCGGUGCCUGUUUCUUUUUGUUUCUUACAUUUUUGAGUGUGCAUGUGUGUGCAGUGUAAUGCAGAGGAAAUGUGUGUACUCAAAAGCACACAUGUAGAAAUCAGAGAACAAAUUAAGAGUCAUUUCUCUCUUUCCUCCAUGUGGGUCCUGUCAGGUUUGGUGGCAAGCACUCUUACCUACGGAGUGCCAUUUCUUGCUUCCCACUGUUACCUAUUUGGCCAGCAUUAUUUAGGGGAGGGAGCUGUUUGUUGGCUUGUUUGUUUCCCCUCCCCCCGUUUUUGAAGCAGGGUCUCCUCUAGCCCAGAAUGACAUAACCUCAGUGUGUAGCCAGGGUGAUCUUGAACUCCUGAUUCUCUGGCCUCUACCUAUAUGCUGCGGAUUAAAGGCAUACAUCACCAUGCUUGAUUCUUUAUGGGGUGCUGGGGAUUGAACUCAGGGCUUUGUGGGUACUAGGCAAGUGUUCUACCAACGAUGUCACACCUGCAGCCCCAACAGCUGUCUCUAAGUACUAGGGGAGUUAAAGGACUUUGUGAGGGGGCAGACGAAGACUGUACUCUGUACCCUAAUGGGUAUUGAGGAAAAUAAAAUAUCUCCCAAUUGAGCUCCAGGACACAAGUGACAUCACCUAGUCAGAUGCCCCUUGGGGAAUCCCAGGCACAGCCCCCAUCAGCCUAACCUUGAGCUGAUCAAGCCGAGUUGUCAUUCCCUCGGGGACACUCUGCUGCCACACUUCCUGAAACUCAGCGAGGUUAAACUUCACGGCAUUCU